UACGUAGGGUGCAAGCGUUAAUCGGAAUUACUGGGCGUAAAGCGUGCGCAGGCGGUUAUGUAAGACAGGUGUGAAAUCCCCGGGCUUAACCUGGGAAUGGCAUUGGUGACUGCACGGCUAGAGUGUGUCAGAGGGGGGUAGAAUUCCACGUGUAGCAGUGAAAUGCGUAGAGAUGUGGAGGAAUACCGAUGGCGAAGGCAGCCCCCUGGGAUAACACUGACGCUCAUGCACGAAAGCGUGGGGAGCAAACAGG
rnacentral:rRNA from 1 species